rnacentral:misc_RNA from 1 species
ACACUGCUUGAGUCAGCUCAGUCUC